UGGGGAAUAUUGCGCAAUAGGGGAAACCCUGACGCAGCGACGCCGCGUGAAGGAUGAAGGCCUUCGGGUUGUAAACUCCUUUUCUCAGGGAAAAUGAUGAUGGUACCUGAGGAAUAAGCCACGGCUAACUCUGUGCCAGCAGCCGCGGUAAGACAGAGGUGGCGAGCGUUGUUCGGAAUUACUGGGCUUAAAGGGCGAGUAGGCGGUGGAACAAGUCUGAGGUGGAAUCUUAGGGCUUAACCCUAAAAUUGCCUUAGAAACUGUUUUACUUGAGUCAGUGAGGGGAGGGCGGAAUUCCUGGUGUAGCGGUGAAAUGCGUAGAUAUCAGGAGGAAGGCCUGUGGCGAAGGCGGCCCUCUGGCACUGGACUGACGCUGAGGCGCGAAAGCGUGGGGAGCAAACAGGAUUAGAUACCCUGGUAGUCCACGCCCUAAACGGUGGGCAUUAGGUGUAGGGCUCGUAAGGGUUCUGUGCCGAAGGGAAACCAUUAAAUGCCCCGCCUGGGGAGUACGGCCGCAAGGUUG
rnacentral:rRNA from 1 species